UGUCAAAGGCUUUGCUGAAGUCUAGGUGGACUACAUCAACAGCUUUUCCCUCAUCCACCAGACGGGUCACUGGAUCAUAGAAGGAGAUCAGGCUGGUCAAGCAGGACCUGCCCUUCGUGGACCCAUGUUGGCUAGGCCUGAUCACCUGGUGUCAGGCAAAGGAAAACUGUGGCUGCAUACAAACUAUUUGAAGGAGGCUCUGAUCCUCAUUCAUUCCUCACUAAUAUUCAGAAAUAUUUGGGAUUCUGCAGCUGUAUCAUAGAAUCACAGAAUGACUGAGGUUGGAAAGGACCUCUGGUGAUCAUCUGGACCAACUUCACUGUUCAUGCAGGGCUACACAGAACAGUUUGCCUAGUUCUAUGAAGAAUUUCUGGAGAUCUCCAAGGGGGAAGACACCACAACCUCUGUAGGCAAUUGCCAGUACUCCAUCACCCACACAGUAAAAAUGUUUGGUUUUUUUUAUGUUUGGAGAGAACCUCCUGUGUUUCAGUUUGUGUCCACUGCCUCUCAUCCUGUCACUAAACACCACUGUAAAGAGCCUGACUUUACACUUUGUACUCUCCCUUCAAGUGUUUGCAUAUAUUGACAAGUGUCAAUGAUCCCCAACCCUUUACCACCACAUGCAUUUUCUCUGGGCAGGACAGUCCUAGCUCUUUCACUCUUUCUGCACAGGAGAGAUGUUCCAGUCUCUUAAUUAUCUUUGUUGCUCAUAUGUGACUUCACCUUAGUGAAUCCUUGCUGACAAUUCCUCACAAUUUUUUCACCCUUCAUGUCUCUAUUAUUUAUCUAUUGCAUCAUACAUUUAUUUAUAUAUGCUUAUUAAUUAUUUAUUAGGACUGAAGUGCAUCUUUUUUUCUUUUAAUUAACAAAUAAGAGGACAAUUUUCAGUGUCCUGACACUGCUUUCAUUCUUUAUUUUUUUUUUUAAUCCAUUACCAAAAUUACAUCAUUGUUCUGUAAGAAAUAGCUGGGAGGACCUCCUAUGAUAUGCCAUAUCCUGAUAAAUAGACAGAGGGGAUUGAAGUGCACACGGAAAAAUGGCACCUGACCAAGUAAUCUGUGGAAAAUGGAAAGCUUUCUCCAAACAACCCUCCACAUGAUAAAAUGAAUAUUAUUCUCACAUUAUCUUUGAGUUACUGUAUUUGCCACUAAAACUAAGCAGAUUUCUUUACCCUUUUUAAAUGUGUAAGUCAUGAGUUUUUACUAGACCUAAUGAUAAUCUCUAAAAGAUGAAGAAAACAGAAAAUUUCUGAUUUCUAACAUAUAAAUAUGAAUAUUUAUUAAUGAACUGUUGUUAGAUGAAUCUAAAAUUUCCUUGGUACCAUCAAAGAGAAACUUAAAAAUUUAGUGUGCCUUAUGGGAAAAAUGCUGUAAUUUUUAAUUUAACACUUCAUAUAUUUUUAUUCAAAGUAAUGGUCACCAAGAAAUAUAAUAAAGAUUAAAUAAAUCAAAGGUUAUUUUAAGGCAUAUGUAUGAAUCCUUCCUUGGUUUUUGGCUCAAAGCUUGCUUUCUGAGGCAUUUCUUGCGGUAAGACUGACUUAGAUGAGAGAUGGUUGUUGCCAUGUGGCAAUCAACAUCACUGUGUGGACAAUUGUACAUUUGAAAGCACCUUCCUCCAGAGCUGCUUGCCUCCGGAAAAGAGUGCUCAGGAGUGGUUACUGACGGAAGAUCAGGCCUAAAUAGCCCCAGCUUGCUGUGGGAAAAUUGGAGAAUGAUACCAUCGUGUCCUGUGAAAAACAGGAUGCAGAUGGGCAUCCCUGCUCCCUCUUAUCUGCUGGCAAGGCCCAGAAAAUGGUAACAAAGCAGUUUCUGCUGAGAUCCCAGAGCCAGUAGCUGCCAGUCUAAGGAGAGCUGACUCGACCACUUUGGACUUAUCUAUAAGUUUGUACUGCCAUUGCAAUCAUCGUCGUUGUCGCCGUGGACACCGUUGUCAAGAAAACAGCAACGCCUCACGACCCACCACUACUGAAGAUCAGUGACUGAACUACGAACCACGUUGGACCAUGGUGGUGACUAUCUCCCUUUUGCUCCCUGUAAGGACUCCUUACUUCUAUUUCCUAUCUUUUCUAUCACCCUUCUCCCCUUCCCCAUCUCCCUGAAUGACU
ensembl:lncRNA